AGAGUUUGAUCAUGGCUCAGGAUGAACGCUGGCGGCGUGCUUAAUACAUGCAAGUCGAGCGAUCGGACUCGAGGUAGCAAUACUUCGGGUUACGGAGCGGCGAACGGGUGAGUAACACGUGACCAAUCUGCCCUCGAGACGGGGAUAACGUUGGGAAACCAGCGCUAAUACCCGAUGACCCUGCGGUGCGGCAUCACACUGCAGGCAAAUGGAUUCCGCUCGAGGAGGAGGUCGCGGCCUAUCAGCUUGUUGGCGGGGUAAAGGCCCACCAAGGCGAUGACGGGUAGCUGGCGUGAGAGCGCGACCAGCCACAUCGGGACUGAGACACGGCCCGAACUCCUACGGGAGGCAGCAGUAGGGAAUUUUGGACAAUGGGCGAAAGCCUGAUCCAGCGACGCCGCGUGAGGGACGAAGGCCUUCGGGUUGUAAACCUCUGUUGCGAGGGAAGAAGCCACCGCAAGGAUGGUGACGGUACCUCGCGAGGAAGCCCCGGCUAACUACGUGCCAGCAGCCGCGGUAAGACGUAGGGGGCAAGCGUUAUCCGGAUUCACUGGGCGUAAAGGGCGCGUAGCGGCUAUGUAAGUCGGGCGUGAAAUCCCCGGGCUCAACUCGGGAACUGCGUUCGAUACUGCAUUGGCUUGAGGAUGGUAGAGGCUCGUGGAACUAGCGGUGUAGCGGUGAAAUGCGCAGAUAUCGCUAGGAACGCCGGUGGCGAAGGGACGGGCUGGGCCACUCCUGACGCUGAGGCGCGAAAGCCAGGGGAGCGAACCGGAUUAGAUACCCCGGUAGUCC
rnacentral:rRNA from 1 species